rnacentral:sRNA from 1 species
CCCCCUUCUCCCCCCAACACACCACCAUUCUGCCAUGGAGUGCAGGCUCCGUCCAGCCAGCCCCGGUGAGGGAGUCUGUGUCCUUCCCCUCUUUCAUGGGGCUCCUUCUCACCCUCACAACACCAUCCUCUCUGGGGACAUGCUGGAGACCCCCAUGGGCCCCUCCCAGGAGAGGCCAGCUCUGCAGCUUACAGGCCAGGGGAAGCCCACAGCUCGGCCCUCCCGGCUCUGACCCCUUGUCCUAUGUCCAGGUCAUUGCUCCCUGGAGGAUGCCCGAAUUCUACAACCGGUUCAAGGGCCGCAAUGACCUGAUGGAGUACGCAAAGCAACACGGGAUUCCCAUCCCAGUCACUCCCAAGAACCCGUGGAGCAUGGAUGAGAACCUCAUGCACAUCAGCUACGAGGCUGGAAUCCUGGAGAACCCCAAGAACCAAGCGCCUCCAGGUCUCUACACGAAGACCCAGGACCCAGCCAAAGCCCCCAACACCCCUGACAUUCUCGAGAUCGAGUUCACCUCCUUGGAGCUCUUCAUGUACCUGAACGAAGUCGCGGGCAAGCAUGGCGUGGGCCGUAUUGACAUCGUGGAGAACCGCUUCAUUGGAAUGAAGUCCCGAGGUAUCUACGAGACCCCAGCAGGCACCAUCCUUUACCAUGCUCAUUUAGACAUCGAGGCCUUCACCAUGGACC